rnacentral:rRNA from 1 species
AGUCGAACGGUACAUAAAGAAGCUUGCUUCUUUGAUGACGAGUGGCGGACGGGUGAGUAAUGCUUGGGAAUCUAGCUUAUGGAGGGGGAUAACUACGGGAAACUGUAGCUAAUACCGCGUAAUAUCGAGAGAUUAAAGUGUGGGACCUUCGGGCCACAUGCCAUAAGAUGAGCCCAAGUGGGAUUAGGUAGUUGGUGAGGUAAAGGCUCACCAAGCCGACGAUCUCUAGCUGGUCUGAGAGGAUGACCAGCCACACUGGGACUGAGACACGGCCCAGACUCCUACGGGAGGCAGCAGUGGGGAAUAUUGCGCAAUGGGGGCAACCCUGACGCAGCCAUGCCGCGUGAAUGAAGAAGGCCUUCGGGUUGUAAAGUUCUUUCGGUAGUGAGGAAGGCAUUUAGUUUAAUAGACUAGGUGAUUGACGUUAACUACAGAAGAAGCACCGGCUAACUCCGUGCCAGCAGCCGCGGUAAUACGGAGGGUGCGAGCGUUAAUCGGAAUAACUGGGCGUAAAGGGCACGCAGGCGGUGACUUAAGUGAGGUGUGAAAGCCCCGGGCUUAACCUGGGAAUUGCAUUUCAUACUGGGUCGCUAGAGUACUUUAGGGAGGGGUAGAAUUCCACGUGUAGCGGUGAAAUGCGUAGAGAUGUGGAGGAAUACCGAAAGCGAAAGCAGCCCCUUGGGGAAUGUACUGACGCUCAUGUGCGAAAGCGUGGGGAGCAAACAGG